AAAUACAUAAUCAAAAUUUGUUCUUUUGUUUGUUAUAGGCCACUAUCGGUUGGAAGGAAUCAAAAAUUGGAUUCGUUGACAUGAGGUUCCACACCAAUAUUAAAUUUAUUAAGACAGGAAGACAGCAAUAAACUCCUCCAAUGAUGUAAACUCAUGAGCUCUACUCCGGAAAAACAACAGGGGUUCACCACUUAGUAAGCUGGUCAAACGGAGUCGCCACAUACUCCAAAAGAUGUGACUCUGCCUCCGGGGUUACUGGAUCUGCAGGCUGCUCCUCGUCCCCCUCGACAUUGAUCUCUGCUAUCCACUGGUUCAGCGGUGCGUCGAUUGCGUCGAUCUGAGUGGAUGACAGAGGUUGCAGACUUCGUGGAUCGAAAACUAUCGACCCAACACUUCCUGUUUUCCUUUCUCAUGGCGUAUUGGCAUCUACCAUGGUGAGAGUUGAUGCGCUGGGAGUCGACAAAGUGGGGUCUGGACAACUGCCAUACAUAUACGAAACUUCAGAGUUUGCGGGAGUGUGGUUCAUGUUACUCAUGUGUGUCAAGUGCAAUUUAAAAAGUGACAAAUAGUAGCAAUGGGUGUUUAACGAGGACACAAGGAGGGAUUCACAGCGAAUAGUUAUGUGCAAUGUGUUUUGGCUACAAAUUAUCAGGUAUUUAUUACUUAAGUUCUUAUAAUAUAUUAAUAUUAUUCAUGUACUGAAUUGUCGAUUCCUGACAAGCUUACAGACUGUGGCUUAUAUUAUUCUCCAACCAGGUUAUAUUUAAAAUAUUAAUGACUAGACAAGUUUCAGCAGCUUAGGCCCAUAAAAAUAAUAUAGUUCUCUCUAAAAUACAGUUUCAACAGUAAUAAUAAAAAUUUUAUAAAAUAAUUUUUUCUUGUUUGAAGCUAUUGAUUCCCAAAAAGUAGUUUUUUACUUGCCUGCUUUCCCCAAUACUUUCUUACUAUCUAUCAUCCAUUCAAGACAAAUCUCAUUAUGCAUAGACUUGUCCUUAGUUUUUAUCAGUAAUAUAUAGUCUUGAUUUACUUUCAAUAAUGAUUAAAAGAGCUCUGUUCUCAUUACCAGUCCCACGUUGAAUGCGACAUGUUUUAUCUGACGCAUCCGUGGCCAUUCACGUUGGGUGACAUAUUUUAUCUGGCGUUAUUUUUUAAUGAAUAACGAAUUGCCUGGCUUGGCUGCAAUCGGUGAAGAUGAGUGUAAAAAUAUACAAAUCUGGUUGUGGUGUUUUAGAACACAACUUCGAUAAAAUCCUUAUAGGCUCGCUCAGGAGCUCUUGCAAUUCAUUACUCUUGGACAAUUUAUAGAAACCUUUGGAAGGUAUAAUUUCCAGAGAUUUAAUUAACAAUGCAAUAUAUUGUUGUGUGAACCAGUUUAUUCUAUUACUGAUAAAAUCGGAUGGUAACUCUCUUGAUAAUUCAAUACUGAUGAUUAAUAAAUAGAUAUGAGAUUUGUCCUGCGUGGUAUUGGGAAUAUAAUAUAUGGUACACCAGAAAAAGUUUGAUACAUAUAUUAUACGAAUAAAUAUUUAAAGUCAGAUCAAUAUGGAAAUAUAUAGAGCAACAAACACACACAAUAAAUACAAGAAUAAAUAUAUCAAAAUAAAAUAUCACAGACUGGUACACUACUCUUUAGCUCUUUAGCACGAAACGUUACCAUGUGCUUUUCUAAUUCAUUGAUAAUAUGCAUUUAUUUGCAUGCAGCUUAGGUAUUGACUUGCUGUUGCUUGUCGAUUUAGA